rnacentral:rRNA from 1 species
UAUGUAGGGUGCGAGCGUUGUCCGGAAUUAUUGGGCGUAAAGGGCUCGUAGGCGGUCUGUUGCGUCGGGAGUGAAAACUCAGGGCUUAACCCUGAGCCUGCUUCCGAUACGGGCAGACUAGAGGUAUGCAGGGGAGAACGGAAUUCCUGGUGUAGCGGUGAAAUGCGCAGAUAUCAGGAGGAACACCGGUGGCGAAGGCGGGUCUCUGGGCCGAUACUGACGCUGAGGAGCGAAAGCGUGGGGAGCAAACAGG